rnacentral:rRNA from 1 species
GGGACAUUCAGUCGGGAGGCGGCGGACGCGCGUUGCGGAGUGACCAGAAUGGUUCCCUGGACUUGGGGCCGUCCGCGACGUGCGCUUUCGUUCCACCCGACGCAUUUGUCGCCCCGUCCGAUGGACGCCGCGACCGGUUGGACUGACGGCCUGAAGGGCGGACGAUGGCAGGUGGCCGGUGGACGCGGGUUAGUCCCGUGCUUCCCCUGUCCGCCGGCUGUUAGCCGGUUUCCGUCGCACGGCGCGUGGUCCGACCGUGGUGUCGCGAGACCCCUCGUGGGACUCUUCGCCUCCCUCCUCUGCAGGAUGCCCGGAAUUGGCGGCACGGGUUUUUCUCCCCACCUGCGGGCGCACGGAACGACUCCGUGGCCCAGCUAUGCGGGAGUCCCGGUCGGUGGCCGCCUUUUACCGGUUGGAGUGUUGUGCGGUAAGCGGCGAGUAGAUCGGUCACCCACCCGUCCCGUCUUGAAACACGGACCAAGGAGUCUAACAUGUGUGCGAGUCAAUGGGGCUUGUGCAGGCCCAGGGGCGCAAUGAAAGCGAAGAAGAGCCGCAAGGCUGUGUUGCGAUCCUCCCGGCUCUGUGCGCGGGAGGCGCACCAACGGCCCGUCCCAUCCGCAACCGUCGGAGGGGCGGAGUCCGAGCAUACACGUUGGGACCCGAAAGGUGGUGAACUAUGCCCGGGCAGGACGAAGCCAGAGG